rnacentral:lncRNA from 1 species
AUGUGCUAUUGUUGGUCUCAGAGAGGCAUCUGGCCCGGUUUCAACGGUAACGGCAGCGCUAGCCUCGGCUCGCUCAUUCCUCGCCUCAAGACUCCUUUGUUCUGCUUGAUAUCUCCGAGCCCCGCACCGCACCGCACCGCAGCGCAGCGCCCCGCGAGCUCGACGUGGAAGUGGGCGCGCGCGGAGAGCGCCGUUACUUUCCCGUCCCCGGUGCGUCUUCGCCGCGUGCAGCGCGAAGGCCAGGAGAGGAGUGGAGAUGAGAGGAGAGGAGAGGAGAGGAGGCGAGGCGGCGGCGGGGGGAUGUGGUUUGCUCGUGGCUUCGGAGACGGACACACCACCAGCACAUUGAAUGCAGCCGCAGCCUCUUUUGUCUCGCUCGCUGGCCUGCACUCUUUUCACACAACACUCCCAGUCCCUCACCCCCUCCUCAAUGGGACAUAACAUGAGUAGCUGCCUUCGAGGAGGGACAAGACCUAAAUACGUGCUUUACUAACACCCCCGUCUUUCGAUUGCUUUCACGAAAAUUAAUAGAACUGUGUCUCUUGCGGAUAAAACUGUUUCAACACGUCUAAGUCAUAAAUACGAGCUUUCACACGACGCUGCUGCUAUUUGGUGUCUCCUUUUAACGUCGCUUUCCUAUUAGCUACAUCCGCAUAUAAAUAAUGAUGUAACAAAACACCCGCGAACACAAUUAGUCAUAUUUAGACUUGUAUUUUUUAAAAAGGUGCAAAAACUGAGGUAGAAAUUCAGAAGAAUAGUUCAGUGAUUGAAUGAAAUUUCCACGUGGGGCUCGGCCUGGGCACGGUAAACACUCGGAGGAUAAACCAAUAGGACGUAAGAACACCCACGUGGGGUAAGCUGACCGGCUGCCGAUUGGAGGCUGCGGCUAGCAAAAUACCCCGCACGUCAAUCAAGCAGGCUACAACUACUCAGCGAAGUUAACCCUUUCCUGGGUACGAGGAGGGGAUUGAGAAUGUCAGCAGUUGUGUGUGUGGUUGUAUCAAGAUUCAGUGGUUUUCCCUUUUCUCCCCACAAACUGUCAGUGCGCCCAAAAGUCUUACAUUUCCCCCUAUUUGGUCCUUGUUGAUGUGCAAAUAAAUAGACUUUGCUCUAACA